rnacentral:rRNA from 1 species
GGCGUGCGGCAGCUACACAUGCAAGUCGAGCGGUAGCACAGAGAGCUUGCUCUCGGGUGACGAGCGGCGGACGGGUGAGUAAUGUCUGGGAAACUGCCUGAUGGAGGGGGAUAACUACUGGAAACGGUAGCUAAUACCGCAUAACGUCGCAAGACCAAAGUGGGGGACCUUCGGGCCUCAUGCCAUCAGAUGUGCCCAGAUGGGAUUAGCUAGUAGGUGGGGUAACGGCUCACCUAGGCGACGAUCCCUAGCUGGUCUGAGAGGAUGACCAGCCACACUGGAACUGAGACACGGUCCAGACUCCUACGGGAGGCAGCAGUGGGGAAUAUUGCACAAUGGGCGCAAGCCUGAUGCAGCCAUGCCGCGUGUGUGAAGAAGGCCUUCGGGUUGUAAAGCACUUUCAGCGGGGAGGAAGGCGUUAAGGUUAAUAACCUUGUCGAUUGACGUUACCCGCAGAAGAAGCACCGGCUAACUCCGUGCCAGCAGCCGCGGUAAUACGGAGGGUGCAAGCGUUAAUCGGAAUUACUGGGCGUAAAGCGCACGCAGGCGGUCUGUCAAGUCGGAUGUGAAAUCCCCGGGCUCAACCUGGGAACUGCAUUCGAAACUGGCAGGCUAGAGUCUUGUAGAGGGGGGUAGAAUUCCAGGUGUAGCGGUGAAAUGCGUAGAGAUCUGGAGGAAUACCGGUGGCGAAGGCGGCCCCCUGGACAAAGACUGACGCUCAGGUGCGAAAGCGUGGGGAGCAAACAGGAUUAGAUACCCUGGUAGUCCACGCCGUAAACGAUGUCGAUUUGGAGGUUGUGCCCUUGAGGCGUGGCUUCCGGAGCUAACGCGUUAAAUCGACCGCCUGGGAGUACGGCCGCAAGGUUAAAACUCAAAUGAAUUGACGGGGCCCGCACAAGCGUGGAGCAUGUGGUUUAAUUCGAUGCAACCGCGAAGAACCUUACCCUGGUCUUGACAUCCACAGAAAUUUCCAUAAAUGGAUGUUGCCUUCGGGAACUGUGAAACAGUGCUGCUUGCCUGUCCGUCAGCUCGUACUGUGAAAUGUGGGUUUAAAUCCCGCAACGAAGCCCCACCCCUUAAUCAUUUGUUGCCUACGAGUCCGGCGCGGGGAUCCCCACGAAAACUGCAGAGGAUAUACUCGG